UUCUAUAUUUGCUUACAAUGGGAAGUUGAACUAAGGUGCGACUUUAUACUCAACUAUAGAUUUUGGACAAUGGAUCUUUCAGGCUAUCUCUGCACAUGAAUUAAACCAAAACAUUAUGCAAUCUCUAUUUGAACAAACAUUGAGUGUUGACACAUGCAGAUAAAUCACAGAUUACACAGAUGGAACAAGAGGAAUGGUUAUAUUGGUAUUUUUGUUCAUUACAAUCUCUUUGAGUAAGCUAUAUUAAAACAUAAAGCUUUAA